UACAGAGGGGGCAAGCGUUGUUCGGAAUUACUGGGCGUAAAGGGCGCGUAGGCGGCCUGUUAAGUCGAACGUGAAAUCCCUGGGCUCAACCCAGGAACUGCGUCCGAUACUGGCAGGCUUGAAUUCGGGAGAGGGAUGCGGAAUUCCAGGUGUAGCGGUGAAAUGCGUAGAUAUCUGGAGGAACACCGGUGGCGAAGGCGGCAUCCUGGCCCGAUAUUGACGCUGAGGCGCGAAAGCCAGGGGAGCAAACGGG
rnacentral:rRNA from 1 species